rnacentral:rRNA from 1 species
CCUACGGGAGGCAGCAGUGAGGAAUAUUGGUCAAUGGACGCAAGUCUGAACCAGCCAAGUAGCGUGCAGGAUGACGGCCCUCCGGGUUGUAAACUGCUUUUAGUUGGGAAUAAAAGGGGGCUCGUGAGCCCCGUCUUGUAUGUACCAUCAGAUAAAGGACCGGCUACUUCCGUGCCAGCAGCCGCGGUAAUACGGCAGGUCCGGGCGUGAUCCGGAUUUAUUGGGUUUAAAGGGAGCGUAGGCCGGCUUUUAAGUCAGCUGUGAAAGUCCGCGGCUCAACCGUGGAAUUGCAGUUGAAACUGGAGGACUUGAGUGCACACAGGGAUGCCGGAAUUCAUGGUGUAGCGGUGAAAUGCUUAGAUAUCAUGAAGAACUCCGAUCGCGAAGGCGAGUGGCCGGGGUGCAACUGACGCUGAGGCUCGAAAGUGCGGGUAUCAAACAGGAUUAGAUACCCCAGUAGUC